rnacentral:rRNA from 1 species
UACGAAGGGUGCAAGCGUUACUCGGAAUUACUGGGCGUAAAGCGUGCGUAGGUGGUUUGUUAAGUCUGAUGUGAAAGCCCUGGGCUCAACCUGGGAAUUGCACUGGAUACUGGCAGGCUAGAGUGCGGUAGAGGAUGGCGGAAUUCCCGGUGUAGCAGUGAAAUGCGUAGAGAUCGGGAGGAACAUCUGUGGCGAAGGCGGCCAUCUGGACCAGCACUGACACUGAGGCACGAAAGCCAGGGGAGCAAACGGG